AUAUCAAAAAUCGCUUUCAGUCCCACAAGGUUAGUAGCAAAGUGAAAAAUAGCAGGAGUGUCUGGUCACAACCUGGAGGGCACAAGGCAAAACAGACCUAAAUCCAAAAAUUGGCCAAACCUCAACCCAGUUCGGCUGAUCUCCAACUCACGAGUGUUGGCAGGAGCACAGGAGGCAGGCGGUGGACAAGACCCCUCCUCCCUUGGGCCAGCGGUAUGGGCCAGACAUUUAGGAGAAUCUUGGCUCUCAACCGAUUUCUGCAAACUAUCUCAUCUUUAGCAGAAGGGAAGUUGCCAUUCCAUCAUGGCAAAUCAGACUGGAUGAAGGUUCACACAUACACAAGGAAACCCCAGAAUGCUGCCCUAUGCUCCGACAAGUCUCAUCUCUGCUUUUACCAUGGAGGCCCGCAGGUGGCUUGGCCAGCCACAUCUGUCAUCUCUCCGACGAGGACGCCUGAAUUCCUCCCAGAGCUAUAAACCUCACUUCUCACCCGGACUCCGGACACCAUCACCCAGGGGCCAUGAGAGCAGGAGGGGCUGGCAUGUUACCUAAUGACUUAACCAGGUGAGGUUCACAUGCACUUUGGGUUUUUACACGAUUGUGCCUCAGAGGAAGUGCUCCCUACUGCUCUGGGGAAACGGGCAACUGUAAAUCAGGUAACGAUAUGGCACUGACUUAUUUAUCCUUGUAAGAGUUUUACGUUCUGAAGUCAACAAGGGGCCCAUCGCCAGAUCCACGGCCAAUUUGCAGUCAUCACUUAGGGGAAGCUUGAUCCCCCUUGCUCAGCCGGAGGGCAUGCUGGGGGCUUGUAGGAGCCAAGGUUACCUGUAGUGCUGAGCCAGAUCAAUCGAUCCUGUAUCUUGGUCUGGGCCAAAUGUUAUCUUCCACAGACACAAGGCAGAGAUGGGAAGUCACUAAACGGUGGGGAACUUUCCCUCUUUGUGCUAAGAUGCUCUUUCUCUCCUUUCCAUUUGUCCCCUGAGUUCCUUCUCCUUGAGGGAAUGUUUGCCUGGACAGCAGCUACACCCUGAGAGACGUGAUGGUGACUCAUUCAUGUAGAAGUAGACAUGGUAAAAGAGUAUGUGCUAAAAGACAUGAAUAGACACUCUCCAAAGAAGACAUCCAGAUGGCCA